AAAAGCAAAAAUAGCUCCUUUCCUCUUAAAAUCUCAAUUUAAAUUAGAAAUCCAUCACAAUGCAUUUGGCAUUAAAAGCUCUUUAAUCAAUACAAGAAAUUUCAUCUUUGCUGAAUAAAACUCAACAGCAAUAUUACAAAAUUUUGUCCUUCACUGGAGGGAUUUCAAGUCCCACAGCUCAACCAUCCUAGCGGCUACACGGCAGUCUAAGAGAAACUAGCUACACUAAAAAUCUGCUGAAUUCCUUCUCCAUAACUUGUUGCCAACCAUAACUAAAUGCAUCCCA
rnacentral:lncRNA from 1 species